rnacentral:misc_RNA from 1 species
GAACCCACAGCUACAAAAUUUCCUUUUUCUUCCCCCUUGAGUGGACAAUGAAGCCAUGCUGUACAAAGGGGGAAUGCUGACAGGACAAUAUCAUGAUGAACAUACAUGUUUGAAUCAUUAUCAACUGAUUCCUCAAAUAUCCAAACCUCAAGGUGACUGAAUUCAUCCUCAUUACGAGCACAAACUAUGACUGCAUCCUUCGGUUUAAUGGUCAUGUCCUCAAGCUCUUCCCAAUCAUCAUCAUCUUUAUCCUUUAAAUAAGGGUCCAUAUCGUUGCUUGGAUAGUAAAGGUCCCAAAGUCCUGUGCUGAAUAGCUCAAUGCCUUCAUCCUCCUCAUCAUAAUGGUCCAUGUCAAGUUCCUUCAAGCCAUCGGUUAUGUCAUCAAAUUUGGUCACUGAGUUCUUAUUUUUAGUAGUUCUACCAAGUGCAUCUGCUACAGCUAAUGCAUGGGUUACUUCAUUGGUCUGCUUGGCAGUAUCAACAUCCAUAUCUUCAUCGUUUUCCUCACUGCCACUAUCUCCACUUCUCUCUAAAGCACCAGCCUCUAUCAUUUCUUCAAUUUCCUCCUUGCAUGGUGGGUCUGCCACUGCUGGGACAGAUUUUGCAACCUCUUUGGGCACCCAUGAUACUGCCGCUAUCAUUCUUCAGUUCACAGCUACUAAUCUUCUCUCUUCCUGUUCAGUAAUAGAGGGUCAACUUGAAAAUUCCAAACUUUAUUUCAUGAAGCGCUGCUUAGCCUAUAUCAACAAUCACAUUCAUAAGCCAAAAGGAAAGAAACCCACUUUCCGUUUGGUAAUAUAAAGAAAACAGAAAGACUAAAAAGGGAACACAGAUUAAAUAGAGAUAGAUAAAAAGAGGCGUACCAAUGGCGGCGCGCAGUUGCCGGCGGUAAUAACCGUCGGAAUGAAGCAGUGAAGUUACGGAAUUACGGUGGUGAGUGUUGGGCAGUGAGAAGGAUCGGUGGUGAGUGGAGGGAACUUUCCCGGGAGCUAGCGCGCUGCGUGGCAAAGGAGGAAGAAGACCAGAACGGCAGUAGGGAAAAGAGAACACAAGAGCCACUAGGCUUUUGUUU